AUGGGUGGUAGAUCAUUUUUCAAGCAAUUUUAUGGAUCUGUGACAAAGUUGGAUUAUGUAACAUUAAGGCGAGAUGAAUGCUGUAGGUUCAACCAUCGCUCUGGAAUCGGUGGUGUCUCGGAGUUCCUUGGUUGGACAGAUCAACAGAGAGCCGCUGCAGCCAAGGAAGGCUGGGGAUACAGAUUAGUGUUUUCUGCACGCCUGAUUGGAUUAUUUCUUGUUGCCGAUGCAUUAUUUAUCGGUGCUCAGCAAGCUGGACGCUAUCUUCAGGAAAUCAGAACCCAUUGA